rnacentral:lncRNA from 1 species
CAAAUACUAGUUUAUUGUAAAAACUGAACAAAACAGUCCAGUCGUAACUCGGCCGGCUGUUAUCCAGACGCUCCGGCGGUCCGCAGUCUGGAGCCCCGGGAGAGGAAACGCUCCAGUCAGGACAGCCGGCCGGAGAGACGGUGGGCACCUGGGACCGCGAGCAAGAGGCUCUGCAAGCAGAGUGCAGACCGGUUGGAUUCUCACCUUCGAACUGACCGCUCAUCUGUCCAGUUUCACGCCACACGGGAGCUCUGCGCUUCGGCGUCCAGGCUGUUGUAGAGGACAGGAAGGCCGGGGAGCUGGAGAGGAGGAACUAGGGAAUAAGACACCUGCUGAAACACCACUAACAGACCUGAGCAAGCAUUAAAGAUACAGUAGCGUGAGUGUUGAGCCCUUGUAACCGAGCGCACAGCUGUCAUUCAGGAGCCGAGCCCGCCCCCAGAGUGACCUUCCUCAGCGGACACGCCCCGUCCACCUGUUCCACAGGUGCGCCCGGCAAGAUGGCAGCGGGGAGAGUUGCUGCGUCGUGAGGACGCCGAAAAGAGUCUCCUGCUCGUUUGAGCGUGCUCUCGAAGUUUUAAAAGUUUGCGUUCAGCGUUCUUGUACUACCUUUCAUGUAACAAAAGGAUUUGAAGAACGGACCUCCACUUAUGAAAGAGUUUUUUCCAAGUUCUGCGGCUCCUGCUUCUCUGCGCUCCGACGAUCUCCUUUCCAGCUCCACUCCAGCAACUCGACGAGCGUUGGCAGGUUCUUCUCGACAAUGUGUGCUUUUUGUUACAUUUGAUUUUUGUUACCAGUGGCUUGAUCUGUAAUGUCCCGAUUCAGUGCUGUAUUUUAUUCUUGACCUGCAUGUUUUCUGUUGACUGCUGUUAUUGUAUGUGCUGCGGUUCCUGGUUCUCGGCGCUCCGACGAUCUCCGGCAAUUUUUUCUUGACAAUGUGUGCUUUUUCUUGCAUUUGAUUUGUUACCAGCGGCUUGAUCUGUAAUGUCCCGAUUCAGUGCU